ACAACCACUUUAAAAUGGCGGCAGAAUGAUACUGGCUUUUGGACACUGUUUGUGCUGAUGAGAGAGAGAGAGAGAGAGAGAGAGAGAGAGAGAGAGAGAGAGAGAGAGAGAGAGAAAGAGAGAGAGAAUGAGAGAGAGAGAAAGAAAGAGAGAGAGGGGGGAGAGAGAGAGAGAGAGAGAGAGAGAAUGAUUUAGUAUUAUGGAUUCUUCGAUGAUUGUUUACUUUUGCUCCAAGGACACUUUUGCCUGCUUGUGUGAAUCCCUGCUGACACAGAAAAGCAGUGCUAGGUGUCUGCUGUGACAAGAAGGCGGGGCCAGAUGAUGGACAUGGACAGUUGAUGGAUGGCUGGUACCCCAUCGGGCAGACACAGGCAGACACGCCACGGGAUACUGAAAGAGCAUCAGGAAGGUGGGGGCUUGGAGGAUCGAUCAGAGGCUCACAGUGUGUGAAGGCAGACCAGUGGGGUGUGUCCACCCUCGCCUGGGUGAAGGGAUCACCACUGAAGAACAGCCUGGCCGGGAACGGAGGGGUCACAGUCGGUGACCGCAACAGCACAACAGGACAAGAAGACAAUGGAAGACCAUACUUACUCAGCCUGGUAAACACUUUACUAAGAUUCUGGAGGUGCUCUUCAUCAUUUAUCCAGUCACGAUGAUGUCAACAAGGUAACAUAAUGGUCCUGGGAUAUCGAGGAACGCUUGGUCCAUUGCUCUUUGUCAAAUUGCCCACAAGAAUUCAUCAUUCUCUCAAAUUGUCAAGGAUGAGAGUGGAAAAUGAACACUUGUUCAGUAUUGUCUGCCUGUGGUUGACCGGUCGCCAUCUCUCUCGCUACUACUGCUACUCCAGCAGCCACUGGGUUCCCGGACAGGUCAACUCACCUCAGCGCUGAGUGAGCUCAGUAUCUGUGGACUCACGUUCAGGGAUUCAGCAGUUCAAAUUCCAUUGGCUCUUGUUUACUACUUUUACCACUUGUGUGAUUUGGUCAAGGCUCUUCAGCGCUGACAGGCUCCAUGGCUGUGGACUCACUUCUGGGGACUCCGCAAAGUGUUCUGUGUGCUAUUUGUUUACCUUUUGUUCUUUGCACGAUUUGUCCUUCUUUUUUAACACAUUGGGUGUUUGACAGUGUUUGUUGUGUGGGUUCUUUUUAAUGGGUUCUACUGUGUUAUGUGGCUGCCUGCAAGAAGGUGAAUCACAAGAUUGAAUACAUACUUUGAUAAUAAGGGUACUUUGAACUUUGAAGUGUCAGUCCAAAAGUACUUGGGAGCAUGUAUAUUAUGCCACAAUAAUCAGUGCCAUGAAUCAGCUAGCAACCAGAGCUACGCUAUUAAACCUUGUCAUCAAGUAUCCAGGAGAGAUUUGAUAUGUGAGCUAGAAACUUAGCCAAUGAGUAGCAGGUGGAUUUGAGUGACAGGUUACUGUGUGACUCAAUGUCCCAACCAUCUGGUAGUGAAGGCAGGUGCAACACUUGCACUGCCUGGGAUCUCCGCCAAACGGUUUUAAAUGAACAUCGCUUCAUGUGAAUAGUUUACUUCUAAUGCCACCCUCUAUUUCCCUUGUAGAGAAAAUUAUUCCAUUUAAUGGAACACACACAAAAUGCUGGAAGAACCCAACAGGUCAGGCAACAGCUAUGGAGAGGGAUGACUUUUCAGAUCAAGACUCGUCAUCAACAUUCUAUUUGACAUUUUAAUCAGGAAACUUAUAGUAUGCAAUGAGUUGGUAUUAAAUCCCCUCACUUAACUUCUGAGUUUCCCUGAAAUCUCCUGAGUUCUCUGUUGUAACUGAAGAGUUAAGCAAAUCUCUUCAUUGUGUCUUUUAAAUACUGAACAUUAGAAUGUAUUGAAUCAAUAAGAUUUAGGAUCAAAUAGGAUAACAUAAAAAAUAGUUGAGAAGGAACCUCAAAGGAUGGAUGAGAUUGUCACAUACACCAGGGUGCAAUGAAUUUCCUUGUUCUCAUUGUUAGGUAUUAUUCCAGAGCUGUGAAAUUAUGAAUAGCAGAUAUUGAUUUCUUUCCGUUUAAGGUGGUGCUGGUGAAGCCCAGCAACUACUUACCGGUGGCAAACAAAACAAAGAAUUCAACUAAGUACUUUAUUAAUAACAUUUUUUCUGGAAAACAAAUAUUGUAAAUAAUGGAGGGGCAAGGCAGAGACAUGGUGAGCUCUCGAUGUAUGUAUAAUAUAUACAUACUUUGAUAAUAAAUGUAGAUUGACCUUUGAACUUAGAUUAAAACAAGGACACAGUAGACUGCAGAACCAGUCUUCAGAAAAUAAAACCUGUUCACGAUUUCAACUGA